CAGGGGGGGAUGCCUAUACAUGCAGUCGAGCGCGGGAAGCGAGUGGAUCCCUUCGGGGUGAAGCUCGUGGAACGAGCGGCGGACGGGUGAGUAACACGUGGGCAACCUGCCUGUAAGAUCGGAAUAACUCCGGGAAACCGGGGCUAAUGCCGGGUAAUACUUUCUUUCGCAUGAAGGAAAGUUGAAAGAUGGCUUCUUGCUAUCACUUACAGAUGGGCCCGCGGCGCAUUAGCUAGUUGGUGAGGUAACGGCUCACCAAGGCGACGAUGCGUAGCCGACCUGAGAGGGUGAUCGGCCACACUGGGACUGAGACACGGCCCAGACUCCUACGGGAGGCAGCAGUAGGGAAUCUUCCGCAAUGGACGAAAGUCUGACGGAGCAACGCCGCGUGAACGAUGAAGGUCUUCGGAUCGUAAAGUUCUGUUGUUAGGGAAGAACAAGUACCGUGCGAAUAGAGCGGUACCUUGACGGUACCUAACGAGGAAGCCCCGGCUAACUACGUGCCAGCAGCCGCGGUAAUACGUAGGGGGCAAGCGUUGUCCGGAAUUAUUGGGCGUAAAGCGCGCGCAGGCGGUUCCUUAAGUCUGAUGUGAAAGCCCACGGCUCAACCGUGGAGGGUCAUUGGAAACUGGGGAACUUGAGGACAGAAGAGGAGAGUGGAAUUCCACGUGUAGCGGUGAAAUGCGUAGAUAUGUGGAGGAACACCAGUGGCGAAGGCGACUCUCUGGUCUGUUUCUGACGCUGAGGUGCGAAAGCGUGGGUAGCAAACAGGAUUAGAUACCCUGGUAGUCCACGCCGUA
rnacentral:rRNA from 1 species